rnacentral:lncRNA from 1 species
GCUGCCGAGUGGUGGAAGUGUUCUGUGGUGGUGGUCCGUGGAAGCGGUGCUUAGUUGUGCUGUUUUUGAAAAGGAACGUGCAGUCAUGGCGUGCGUAAUUUAGAUUUUGUCGAAUUAGUGUCCGACAGUUUCAUCUCUGGAAGUCUUUAUGGGUGAACGCCGGACAAGUGCUUUUUCCUGUGGAUCCAUUGAGUGCGGAAUGCUGUGCAAGCCUGCGCCUUGUCGGCGAUGCAGCCGUUUGAAGCAACGCUCUCCCAUUGGUCACGGGUACGUGAAUCUCACGG